AUCUUGAAAACGGAAAAUAAAAACAGCAGACCUAUGAAGGUCGAAGGGGAAGAAAAGCUGUAUCGAUUGUUGAGAUCUGGCGACUUGUUUAAAUUUCAUCAGCCUCACUUCUAUGAACUCUCAGGACAAACUGCAACAGAGUCACAUCGAGUUGAGACUUCUCCAAGGGCCAUGGGGUUGACAUCUGUAUUCUCAGAGCUGAUUACCAACUCCUACCACUGUUAACCCUCAUCCAGGAACAAGCUUAUGUCUUUAACAUUCUGAGUGGGCUUCAGCAUCCUUGCAUAUGUUCAAUUCUUAAAAACCUGUUGAAAUAAAAGAUCAGGAGACAUAGGAAGGAUGCCAGAAGAGAGCGUGGCCUCACGUGUACCAGCUCUCUGCUCUCCUUUGCCUUGGGACGUUCCAUCCCUGGAAGUUUCCCUGCCCACAUCUUUGUAGAGAGUCCAUUCUCCAAGCUUCAGUGUGUCAUCUGUGAGGACCGUGACCCACCUGGUACAUCGCCUCAGGGCAUUCAUUUCAGGCUCCUUCUAAAUGGCCAAGUUUUCAAGAUUGUUUUGGCUCUAGCAAAACAAGUUGGAACAUUCACAUCAUCCACUGCACUGAUGAGGAAACUGAAACAGAAAAUCCAGAGUAAAUUCCACCAGGCCACACAGCAAGGUCUGAUAGAGCCAGGAGAGACUUUAUGAAAUCCAGACUCUCACACUAAUGCUCUAUCAGCUAGACCUCCAUGUGAGUCUCCCCAAUGUAGGUAGGAAGUGCUUUCCC
rnacentral:lncRNA from 10 species